rnacentral:lncRNA from 1 species
GGGAAAUAUAACCUGCAUUGAUGAUUUUACACACAGGACCAACUUUAUCUUUGACCAAGGUGAAGGAUGCAGGAGCUGUUCUGUGUUCAGUAAAAAAUGAACAUGGGAACGAAAGUAAAUGGCUUCUUCCAGGUCUUCCUGUUCCGAGCUGCAGCAUCACGCAAACAUUGAACUAUUCAGUUGCAAGGUUUUCUUGCAAAUUUACUGGUGACAUCCUCAAACCAUUUGAACUUUUGAUUGAAGUGGAUGGGAAAUCACAUUCAUUCAUGGAUCGUCACGAAAGAUCUGUACUGUUCAACCUGAUGGAGAACAAUGUCCCCGGUCACGAGUGCACGUGCAAAGUAAAAAACAAACUUACCGAAUCAAAGCCAUGCAUCGAGACAUACAGCAGAGAGAACGACAUCAGGUCCUAUCUGUUGUACUUGAUAGCAGCUGGAGCAGCGUUACUCCUCAUUCUCAUCAUACUGAUCAUCUGCUUCAUUUGUUGCAUAAGAGCAAGAAGGAAUCAAAGCAAUCCAUAUUACACGGAAGAGCUACUUGCAAACAACCCACCAUUGACUGACAUCAUUGAGGAGCAGAAUGAAACGAUUCCCACAAUACUUUGGGAUGACAUUCAGUUGAAUCGUUGCAUACAGAGAGGAGAGAGAUACGAUUUGUACAAGGCUGAUGUCUCAAACUUUCCGAACCAGGUCGUCGUGGUGAAACGUCUUCGUGGUAUGCUCUCAUAAAGUCAGUGGGUUGUUCUUACAUUGAAAGGGGACUAUAAAAGAUGUAAUACGAUUUCCAUCACUUUGAAAAUUUUU